GACGAACGCUGGCGGCGUGCCUAAUACAUGCAAGUCGAACGCAGUGGGGACGGGUGAGUAACACGUGGGUAACCUCUCAUCUGAGGGGAUAACACUUGGAAACAGGUGCUAAACCGCUACUGAUGGAUGUACCUGCGGUGCAUUAGCUAGUUGGUGAGGUAACGGCUCACCAAGGCUACGAUGCAUAGCCGGCCUGAGAGGGUGAUCGGCCACACUGGGACUGAGACACGGCCCAGACUCCUACGGGAGGCAGCAGUGGGGAAUAUUCGGCAAUGGACGAAAGCCUGACGGAGCAACGCCGCGUGAGUGAAGAAGGUUUUCGGAUCGUAAAGCUCUGUUGUUAGAGAGGCGGUAUCUAACCAGAAAGCCACGGCUAACUACGUGCCAGCAGCCGCGGUAAUAC
rnacentral:rRNA from 1 species